ACGCGCAAUACAAUAGAUAUACAGUCUUUAUGGGAUAAUAUUUUGUAAGAGAUAUUUGAACUCGGAAUUGCUAGUAAAUUUUAUUGAAUAAGUAGAAUUGAAUGUGUCCCUGUUCUUUGUACACACCGCCCGUCGCUAUCUAAGAUGAUAUAUGCUGUGAAAUUAGUGCAAACUACUUGAACAAUAUGUAUUAGAUCUGAUAUAAGUCGUAACAUGGUUGCUGUUGGAGAACCAUUAGCAGGAUCAUAA
rnacentral:rRNA from 1 species